rnacentral:lncRNA from 1 species
GUUGACGUGAUGACCAUUAUUUGAUAGUAUCGAACCAUACAUGGGGCAGCAUGAAAGCCCAUCCUAAGAUAGAGAUUUCGAGUCUUGACUUGGACAAGAUCGGUGGAACAACUUAUUGGGCCCCUUGGAUCAGCUGCACGGUCGCUUGGAGAAAACAAAUUUUUUCUUCAUACAGCCUUCCAACAAGGCUCAUGCAUAGCCAAAUUAGCACACUACCGAUUACUCAGAU